CUGCAGGGUACCAAGUAGAGACAAACUGCAGGGUACCUAGUAGAGACAAACCGCUGCAUUGUGGUAUGUUGCCGUCCAAACAUAUAGUUGCCAUCAGGAGGGUCGACGACAAGAACGGAGGGUCGGCGACAAGAACACGAGUGACAACCUUAGUAGUUUAUAUGUUUUGUUGAUGUAAAUUGGAUUGUACCGGUUCAUAAUCCUUGUUGUGUGAUAUAUUUUGUCCAUAUAUGUUGUAUAUUAUCAUUUCAUGGACAAUAUUAUAACGUGCUAGGUUGUAGAUACCUAUGGAUGGUUGCAUAUUGAGUGAUUUUGUCAAUAUAUUGUAUAUUAUAAUUUCA